rnacentral:rRNA from 1 species
GACGAACGCUGGCGGCGUGCUUAACACAUGCAAGUCGAACGGAAAGGCCCUGCUUUUGUGGGGUGCUCGAGUGGCGAACGGGUGAGUAACACGUGAGUAACCUGCCCUGGACUUUGGGAUAACUUCAGGAAACUGGGGCUAAUACCGGAUAGGAGCUCCUGCUGCAUGGUGGGGGUUGGAAAGUUUCGGCGGUUGGGGAUGGACUCGCGGCUUAUCAGCUUGUUGGUGGGGGAGUGGCUUACCAAGGCUUUGACGGGUAGCCGGCCUGAGAGGGUGACCGGCCACAUUGGGACUGAGGUACGGCCCAGACUCCUACGGGAGGCAGCAGGGGGGAAUAUUGCACAAUGGGCGGAAGCCGGAUGCAGCAACGCCGCGGGCGGGAUGACGGCCUUCGGGUUGUAAACCGCUUUCGCCUGUGACGAAGCGUGAGUGACGGUAAUGGGUAAAGAAGCACCGGCUAACUACGUG